GUGUCAGGAUGCAAGAGAUCAUCAUCACUGAGGCUCCGACAGCAGCUCCGAGCAGCACCGACGGAUGAUGGAAACCUGCAAAACAGUGUUUUGUUGCUCAGAGUGGAGCAGAUGGAAACUGCACAUCAGUUCCUGUGAUUACAACAAGAAACACUCACCACCAGAGGACACCAGACUGACGCAGAGAGUUUUUCGAAGGAAGUCUGAUGACUCUGGGAGUGGAAUUGGAAGAGACACAAUCUGUAAGU